rnacentral:rRNA from 1 species
UGGUCAAGUUAUUAAGGGUGCAGGGCGGAUGCCUUGGCACUAGGAGCCGAUGAAGGACGUGAUAAGCUGCGAUAAGCUUCGGGGAGUUGCACGUAAACUUUGAU